AGCGGUUGAAUGGGUGCAUCGUAUUUCGUGGGCCAUCCAUUUUAUCCUCUCUGUUAAUCCAAUUCGGAAUUCCCCAACUUCGGCGGUUCAGCUCCAUGCCUCCAUAAUCACUACACUACUUCAAAUUUUCAAACUUUGAAGUUGUAAUACAAAUUCCCAAUUCUAUGGAGGGAGCUAUUUCUCUAUUCCUUCCAACUUCUCUACGAUCCUUCCAUUGUCCUUCUUCAACACAAACCCUUCUUUCUAACUUCCCUGCUUCCUCACAACUCCUUUCCUUUACUCCCAAUUCCACCAAAUUCCGCACCAAAACUGUGGUUUUUCGGAACCAAUCAGGCAAAGAAAAUGAUUCUCAGUUUCUGGAUGAAAAUGGGGUCGUCAAUGAUAUGGAUGGAUAUUUGAAUUACCACUCUUUCGAAUAUGACUCCGUCUGGGAUACAAAGCCUUCUUGGUGUCAACCAUGGACUAUAACACUGACAGGAUUGCUAGUGACUUCCUCUAGCUGGGUUAUUAUAAAGUCGGCAGCAGUGACUGCAGUAAUAUUCUCAUUGAUAUGCUUAUGGUGGUACAUCUUUCUUUACUCAUAUCCAAAGGCUUAUUCUGAGAUGAUUGCAGAACGAAGAAGAAAGGUUAGUGAUGGAGUAGAAGACACAUUUGGUGUGAAAAGGACACAGUGAUUAUUGUAGAGAUUAUAUGUAUUAACCACCUGCUUCUCCUCUACUUCUGUGUCAAGUGUCCUGUUUCAUCUUUUCUAGGCUUUUGAUGACCCCUCGGUUCUGCGUGCUUUAAGAUCUUUGCUUAAAAGUAUUAUAAACGCUGUUGAUAUGAGGCAAGGAUUGAAAAAUCGCAAGUAUCGCGGAUAUAUCGGUACGAAAUCUAACAUGGAAGAUGAAGGUCAAGUUCAAGGUUCCACAGGACGAGCUGAUAGUGCAUGGGCAUAUUGCAUUGAGCUUCCCGGGAAUAAAAAUGGCACAAUAUAUAAAUAUUGUGGUCAUGCAAUAAAAGUGCAGGAAUUACAACAUUUAAGUAUCACCUAGUUUGAUAUGACCCAAAUAAAAAUGUGAAGAAAUGUCUUAAUGUUCCACCAGAAGUUAAAGACAGAGAUGUUCUUGAGCAUUCAAAGGAAAGAUAAGGAAAAAGACUAAGAAGAAGGAGAUAAUUGAAAUUACACGUGAAGAAUUGCGUGAAAACCUUGGCCGUCAAAUAAACUAUGCUUUCGAAUUAGUGGAUGAUAAUGUAUAUAUGUAUCUAGCAAAUGUUCAUGCUAAUGAAUGACGUAUGUAUCGAGAAGCUCUUUGUGCA